GUACACAAAAAUGCACAUAUUGUGAGCUCGAUGAGUAGGGCGGGACACGUGGUAUCCUGUCUGAAUAUGGGGGGACCAUCCUCCAAGGCUAAAUACUCCUGACUGACCGAUAGUGAACCAGUACCGUGAGGGAAAGGCGAAAAGAACCCCGGCGAGGGGAGUGAAAAAGAACCUGAAACCGUGUACGUACAAGCAGUGGGAGCCUCUUUUAUGGGGUGACUGCGUACCUUUUGUAUAAUGGGUCAGCGACUUAUAUUCUGUAGCAAGGUUAACCGAAUAGGGGAGCCGAAGGGAAACCGAGUCUUAACUGGGCGUUAAGUUGCAGGGUAUAGACCCGAAACCCGGUGAUCUAGCCAUGGGCAGGUUGAAGGUUGGGUAACACUAACUGGAGGACCGAACCGACUAAUGUUGAAAAAUUAGCGGAUGACUUGUGGCUGGGGGUGAAAGGCCAAUCAAACCGGGAGAUAGCUGGUUCUCCCCGAAAGCUAUUUAGGUAGCGCCUCGUGAAUUCAUCUCCGGGGGUAGAGCACUGUUUCGGCAAGGGGGUCAUCCCGACUUACCAACCCGAUGCAAACUGCGAAUACCGGAGAAUGUUAUCACGGGAGACACACGGCGGGUGCUAACGUCCGUCGUGAAGAGGGAAACAACCCAGACCGCCAGCUAAGGUCCCAAAGUCAUGGUUAAGUGGGAAACGAUGUGGGAAGGCCCAGACAGCCAGGAUGUUGGCUUAGAAGCAGCCAUCAUUUAAAGAAAGCGUAAUAGCUCACUGGUCGAGUCGGCCUGCGCGGAAGAUGUAACGGGGCUAAACCAUGCACCGAAGCUGCGGCAGCGACGCUUAUGCGUUGUUGGGUAGGGGAGCGUUCUGUAAGCCUGUGAAGGUGUGCUGUGAGGCAUGCUGGAGGUAUCAGAAGUGCGAAUGCUGACAUAAGUAACGAUAAAGCGGGUGAAAAGCCCGCUCGCCGGAAGACCAAGGGUUCCUGUCCAACGUUAAUCGGGGCAGGGUGAGUCGACCCCUAAGGCGAGGCCGAAAGGCGUAGUCGAUGGGAAACAGGUUAAUAUUCCUGUACUUGGUGUUACUGCGAAGGGGGGACGGAGAAGGCUAUGUUGGCCGGGCGACGGUUGUCCCGGUUUAAGCGUGUAGGCUGGUUUUCCAGGCAAAUCCGGAAAAUCAAGGCUGAGGCGUGAUGACGAGGCACUACGGUGCUGAAGCAACAAAUGCCCUGCUUCCAGGAAAAGCCUCUAAGCAUCAGGUAACAUCAAAUCGUACCCCAAACCGACACAGGUGGUCAGGUAGAGAAUACCAAGGCGCUUGAGAGAACUCGGGUGAAGGAACUAGGCAAAAUGGUGCCGUAACUUCGGGAGAAGGCACGCUGAUAUGUAGGUGAAGUCCCUUGCGGAUGGAGCUGAAAUCAGUCGAAGAUACCAGCUGGCUGCAACUGUUUAUUAAAAACACAGCACUGUGCAAACACGAAAGUGGACGUAUACGGUGUGACGCCUGCCCGGUGCCGGAAGGUUAAUUGAUGGGGUCAGCGCAAGCGAAGCUCUUGAUCGAAGCCCCGGUAAACGGCGGCCGUAACUAUAACGGUCCUAAGGUAGCGAAAUUCCUUGUCGGGUAAGUUCCGACCUGCACGAAUGGCGUAAUGAUGGCCAGGCUGUCUCCACCCGAGACUCAGUGAAAUUGAACUCGCUGUGAAGAUGCAGUGUACCCGCGGCAAGACGGAAAGACCCCGUGAACCUUUACUAUAGCUUGACACUGAACAUUGAGCCUUGAUGUGUAGGAUAGGUGGGAGGCUUUGAAGUGUGGACGCCAGUCUGCAUGGAGCCGACCUUGAAAUACCACCCUU
rnacentral:rRNA from 1 species